rnacentral:rRNA from 2 species
UACGAAGGGGGCUAGCGUUGUUCGGAAUCACUGGGCGUAAAGCGCACGUAGGCGGAUUGUUAAGUCAGGGGUGAAAGCCUGGAGCUCAACUCCAGAACUGCCCUUGAUACUGGCAAUCUCGAGUCCGGAAGAGGUAAGUGGAACUGCGAGUGUAGAGGUGAAAUUCGUAGAUAUUCGCAAGAACACCAGUGGCGAAGGCGGCUUACUGGUCCGGUACUGACGCUGAGGUGCGAAAGCGUGGGGAGCAAACAGG